UUCUUAUGACAACAGGUUAAUAAUGAAGCAGAGAACGAUUUUCUUUGUUGUGCUAAUGAUCUUUUCAUUACAUGAUUGCAGGAGCCAGACACUGGUGGAAUCUGAUGCUGUAGUCAUUAAACCAGGAGAGUCACAUAAACUGACCUGUACUGCUUCUGGUUUUAACUUUGGUGGCUCCUGGAUGGCUUGGAUCAGACAGGCUGCUGGGAAAGGACCAGAGUGGGUAGCAACAUUAUCUAAUGGCAAUAGCUAUAUCUACUAUUCUGACAAGGUUAAGGGACGAUUUACCAUCUCAAGAGAUGAUAACAAGAAUCAGCUGUACCUUCAGAUGAGCAGUCUGAAAACUGAAGACACUGCUGUUUACUACUGUGCAAGAGACACA